AAGAAACUUGCCUGAGGUCACAAAGCCAGAAAGUGCUAUUUGAACCCUGUCUGGUAUUUCAGGAGCCCACAUACCAAAAGGUCUCCCACCCAGGCCCCUGCAGGAGCCUGAAGGAGAGAUUCCGGUUUGAUGGGCAACAAGUGCUCACAGGACAACCCAGCAAACCACAGACGCCGACAGCCCAGAAGAAGCUCACGGAGGUUUUGGUUCAGUGCCCCAUUUUCCAGACAGGGAAACGCCGGCCAGUCUCGCAUAAAGGGCUUCGUUUGUUUUUGUCUGUUUAAUUCACUGCCUCAUCCCUGUUGCCUAGAACAAUGCUUGGCACAUAGUAGGCAUUCAAUAAACAUUGGUAGGAUGAAUGACUGACUCAUCAAAUGAACGUAGGUUUUCCGAGGCACUUAGCAUUGCAACAGAAAGCUGGCUGUCAGAACAGAGCCUCUCCUCCAACCCCUCACGGCCUCAUGGCUGGGAAGACGGGGGGUCAGACUUGAGGGUACGGGCUCUCACACACACACAGGCUCCCAGGGGCACAACAUUUGAUGCAUUUCCCCCAACACCAGACACACAGCCUCUCUUUAGUUACAAGGACAGAACUCACUCUGCCCGCUGAGGCGUAAAUCAGAAGCAGGGAUCCUGGCAGGUCACGGUGCCACGCAAGGGCAGGAAAGGCAGCUGGAGCUCCGAGCCAGAAACAAACCAGAAAAUAAAAAAUGACGUUACUCGCCACCACCUUGCCCCUCUGGUCUGCCCACCCGCUUUUUUCUUCCCUCCCCUGAUCAUCAGCUCUCGCCGGGCUCCUGGCUGCCUCAGGCUGGGCUUUCUGGGUCCUCUCAGUUCAAAGAACCAGCAGAGACUGGGCAUCAAGGUCUCCAUCUCAAAUUCUAGGAGCCUGAACUUGACUGGCCAGCUGUGGCUGGGAGCCGCCUGGGUCCCGGGGCCACAGGCCACAACCCGAGAGGAGCAGCCCCUGAGGAGGAGGAUGUGGGCGGCCUCUUUAAAAGGAAUGUGGAGGGUGGAAGAAGGAUGCCUUCCCAUCCAGCCAGCUGGAAUCCCUUCCCAGCCCCCAUCCUUCAGACACGAAGCCUUGACCAUCUCCCGUGAUGGAGCUCUUCCUACCCACACAGCACAAUGUCACCCAUUGUCCCUUAUUACUCAUUAUUGGUUGAGGGCGCUUAAGUCAUCCUUUCUUUCGAGCUAGCCAUUGAUCAUUUGCUCACGUCUGUGGGGAAGUAUUUGCGCAAGAUUAAGUCAAGGCCACCCGACUGUUGCCUCAUUCUGCUUCCUCGGUUGCUAUAAACAAUUUUUACACCUUGCAAGUCCAAACCCCAUAUAAGAGAGGAUCUGAUUGGUUCUUCCACUUGCCA
rnacentral:lncRNA from 1 species